ACUUGUACAUAUUCUUUGUUUCCUCCCCUCACACCAAACUGAUGCCAAGGACGAUCAUGCGUGUGUAUAGCUACUUGAAUGCAUACCUGAGACGUGACGUCAAUAUUAUGAUAAAAAAAAAACGAGGAGUAAACCACGACUACAGACCAUCCCUUCGAAAACGUUACUAUUUUUAAUCACGACGACGACGUUUAGGUGCCACAUAAUAGUAUACAGUUGUGCGUGUACACGACAUCUUCAUUGCCUGCAGAACGCCAUAAAUCGUCAUAUCCAUACAACCUACUCGAUAAACGUAAAUUAUUCUAAUAAUACGAUUUUGUAUUUAUAAUAAUCGAUCGAGAAGUAUAUUUUUUGACGUAUACAUAUACAUAAUUUUAUCGUCGCAAGAAACUGUAUACGUAAUAUGACAUUUUUAUCGUCAAGCUAAAAAACCGGAUGUAUUUCGGCCGUAUACUGUGUAUAUAAUGUAUAUGUAUAGGAGGGCAUUGUCGGAUCUAUAUUAUGAGAAAAAAAACCAAACAACACUCGGGAGAUAUUGUGAUGGGGCAAGUGAAAUAUCACUAUAUAUUAUUGGUCACAACAGCAAACCGGUUGUCUGAAAAAAAAACUACGCUACCCGUACAUCGGAUGAGUCACCGUUACAAUAUAUUAUAUUAUGUUGGUUCUAUUCAAUACUAUUAUUGCUUACGCAUAUAAUAAAUACUUCACUUCGAAACGUAAGUGUAACGUUUUUUUU